rnacentral:rRNA from 1 species
UUGAUUAUGGCUCACGACGAACGCUGGCGGCGUGCUUAACACAUGCAAGUCGAGCGAUGAAGCACCUUCGGGUGUGAAUUAGCGGCGAACGGGUGAGGAACACGUGAAGAAUCUGCCUUCAACUCUGGGAUAACUCCGGGAAACCGGGGCUAAUACCGGAUAUGAGCCUUGAUCGCAUGAUCGGGGCUGGAAAGUUUGUCGGUUGAAGAUGACUUCGCGGCCUAUCAGCUUGUUGGUGAGGUAAUGGCUCACCAAGGCGACGACGGGUAGCCGGCCUGAGAGGGCGACCGGCCACACUGGGACUGAGACACGGCCCAGACUCCUACGGGAGGCAGCAGUGGGGAAUAUUGGGCAAUGGAGGAAACUCUGACCCAGCGACGCCGCGUGAGGGAUGAAGGCCUUCGGGUUGUAAACCUCUUUCAGUAGGGAAGAAGCGAAAGUGACGGUACCUACAGAAGAAGCACCGGCUAACUAUGUGCCAGCAGCCGCGGUAAUACAUAGGGUGCAAGCGUUGUCCGGAAUUAUUGGGCGUAAAGAGCUCGUAGGUGGUUCGAUACGUCGGAUGUGAAAAUCAGGGGCUCAACCCCUGACCUGCAUCCGAUACGGUCGAGCUAGAGUUUGGUAGGGGAGACUGGAAUUCCUGGUGUAGCGGUGGAAUGCGCAGAUAUCAGGAGGAACACCGAUGGCGAAGGCAGGUCUCUGGGCCAAUACUGACACUGAGGAGCGAAAGCGUGGGGAGCGAACAGGAUUAGAUACCCUGGUAGUCCACGCCGUAAACGGUGGGCGCUAGUUGUGCGAACCUUCCACGGUUUGUGCGACGCAGCUAACGCAUUAAGCGCCCCGCCUGGGGAGUACGAUCGCAAGAUUAAAACUCAAAUG